rnacentral:rRNA from 1 species
UACAGCGGGUGCGAGCGUUGUCCGGAAUCACUGGGCGUAAAGGGCGCGUAGGCGGCUUUGCAAGUCGGGUGUGAAAUCCCCAGGCUUAACCUGGGAACUGCAUUCGAGACUGCAUCGCUAGAGUAUCGGAGAGGGAAGUGGAAUUUCAGGUGUAGCGGUGAAAUGCGUAGAUAUCUGAAGGAACAUCAGUGGCGAAAGCGACUUCCUGGACGAAUACUGACGCUCAUGUGCGAAAGCGUGGGGAGCAAACAGG